rnacentral:tRNA from 1 species
GCGCUGGCCGGGGCGGCGUACCUGCGGCUGCCGCUGGCGGCCGGGUACCGGUACGAGCCGGGCGGGAUCAUGUCCCGCGACGGGGUG